GCGGGUGUAGUAUAACGGUCAUUACACUAUCUUGCCAUGAUAGAGAUGGCGGUUCGACUCCGCUCACCCGCUCCC
rnacentral:tRNA from 1 species